AUGGAAACACACCACACACGUGUCCACCCACAUACACAUACACGGGCAGGGCCAGGCCUAGCUGGGGAGAACCACACCACACGUGUUCACCCACAUACACAUACACGGGCACGACCAGGCCUAGCUGGGGAGAACCACACCACACGUGUUCACCUACAUACACAUACACGGGCAGGGCCAGGCCUACCUGCGGAGAACCACACCACACGUGUCCAGCCACAUACACAGGCACAACCAGGCCUAGCUGGGGAGAACCACACCACAUGUGUCCACCCACAUACACAUACACGGGCACGACCAGGCCUAGCUGGGGAGAACCACACCACACGUGUUCACCCACAUACACAUACACGGGCACGACCAGGCCUAGAUGGAAACACACCACACACGUGUCCACCCACAUACACAUACACGGGCACAACCAGGCCUAGCUGGGGAGAACCACACCACACGUGUUCACCCACAUACACAUACACGGGCACAACCAGGCCUAGCUGGGGAGAACCACACCACACGUGUUCACCCACAUACACAUACACGGACACGACCAGGCCUAGCUGGGGAGAACCACACCACACGUGUUCACCCACAUACACAUACACGGACACGACCAGGCCUAGCUGGGGAGAACCACACCACACGUGUUCACCCAUAUACACAUACACGGACACGACCAGGCCUAGCUGGGGAGAACCACACCACACGUGUUCACCCACAUACACAUACACGGACACGACCAGGCCUAGCUGGGGAGAACCACACCACACGUGUUCACCCACAUACACAUACACGGACACGACCAGGCCUAGCUGGGGAGAACCACACCACACGUGUCCACCCACAUACACAUACACGGGCACGACCAGGCCUAGAUGGAAACACACCACACGUGUCCACCCACAUACACAUACACGGGCACGACCAGGCCUAGCUGGGGAGAACCACACCACACGUGUCCACCCACAUACACAUACACGGGCACGACCAGGCCUAGAUGGAAACACACCACACAUGUGUCCACCCACAUACACAUACACGGGCACGACCAGGCCUAGCUGGGGAGAACCACACCACACGUGUCCACCCACAUACACAGGCACAACCAGGCCUAGCUGA
rnacentral:lncRNA from 1 species